AGUUUGAGGGAAUUGUCUUAAAAUGAGCAGUCUGAGCCAACCCUGAUCAGCGGCGGAGGUGGUGCAAGCCAUGAUAUGGUUUGGGCUGUUUGUAGACCGGGUGAAAUUGACAAGAACGAAUGAAUAGAGAGGCGCCCUCGCUCCUUCAGCCAGGCAGGGAGAAGUCUCACUGCAUUCCCCGGAACUUACUUCCGACUCAGCGCUCAGGAUCAGGCUGCACUUGAAUUUAGGCUCACAGACUUAUUCUGAAGCCAUGGGACUUCUUUCCAAGAAAUGGCCCGAUCCUAAGCUUCUUCAUACCGAAGUGGGUCCCACGGAAAUAAAUCAGACAUCAUUCCCGGUAAAUAUGCACCGGAUCGGGACAUCUAAAAGAAUUCUGAAAGCCCAGCCGAUUCAUUCAAGUGAGAAAUGCCUUCUUCAGCUCCGUAAAGCAUGGGCCCUCCGUUGUCGGUGAAUGAGACCCUCCAGUGAUCAACUUCCAUGAAUCGAGAGAGAAGAAGGGGCAGGAUUGUAGCUAUGCAACUGAAUGGGAGGUUUCCCCUCCCUCCCUUCAGAGCUGAAGGCUUUGUUGCAACCACCUUAGGCACACCUCUUGAUGAAGGCAAUGUGUUCACCAUGAUUUCUCCAUCAACUCAUUGUUUAUCUGUCUCGUUUAGUACAAAACAAAAAGUAGGGUUUUUUAUUUAAAAAAAGCACAUGUAUUAAGAUAUCCAAUUACAGAUUUUAAUUAGCUGGUUACAACUCAGAGAGAUAGUAGACUAAUCCAAUCUUUAUUCUGAAAACAGUACUUCAUUUCUCCAGAAGUUUUUGAGCUGUGAAUCAAAACACAGCUAAAUACUAAAUACACCACUUGG